GCCAGCGUAGCUCAAUUCGGAAGAGCAACUGAUUUGUAAUCAGUAGGUUGCCAGUUCGAGUCUGGCCGCUGGCU
rnacentral:tRNA from 1 species